rnacentral:rRNA from 1 species
UACGAAGGGGGCUAGCGUUGCUCGGAAUCACUGGGCGUAAAGGGUGCGUAGGCGGAUAUUUAAGUCAGGGGUGAAAUCCCAGAGCUCAACUCUGGAACUGCCUUUGAUACUGGGUAUCUCGAGUAUGGAAGAGGUGAGUGGAAUUCCGAGUGUAGAGGUGAAAUUCGUAGAUAUUCGGAGGAACACCAGUGGCGAAGGCGGCUCACUGGUCCAUUACUGACGCUGAGGUGCGAAAGCGUGGGGAGCAAACAGG